UACGUAGGGUGCAAGCGUUGUCCGGAAUUAUUGGGCGUAAAGAGCUCGUAGGCGGUUUGUCGCGUCUGCUGUGAAAACUCGGGGCUUAACUCCGGGCCUGCAGUGGGUACGGGCAGACUAGAGUGCGGUAGGGGAGACUGGAAUUCCAGGUGUAGCGGUGAAAUGCGUAGAUAUCUGGAAGAACACCCGUGGCGAAGGCGGCUACUCUGGGACGGUACUGGACGCUGAGACGCGAAAGCGUGGGGAGCGAACAGG
rnacentral:rRNA from 1 species